AGGGGGACACAGCCCAGGGUGGGCGUUACGGCCAUUCCUCUGCCCACCCACCCACAGACAGCCCAGCACAUAGGCUGGGCUCAGCACGAAGGUCCUGGGUCUGGGUUUGAAUCCCGUCCUCACCACUUCCUGGAACAGGAGGGUCUGGGUUUGAAUCCCAUCCUCACCACUUCUGGAACAGGACGCCUCCUCCAGGGAGCCUCCCUGGGUUGGCCCAAGCCCCCCAGGCUGGGUUUCCACUCCUAGGGUGCCCCCAGCUUGGCUGGUGCUCCAUCUUGGUCUGCGUUUUGGCCCAAGUCCCUUCCGGAGAGUGAUGGGCUCCCCUCCACACUGAGGACACCCCCUGCUCCUUGCCGAGACCCCGAGACCCCGCUUCUGCCUGGGUAACGCGAAGGCAGCAUUUGUUCAGUGCAUGACCUCAUCUCACAGAGGCUCACAACCACUCUCUGUGUUGCUCCAUUGAGCCAAACGUGUAUUAAGCGCCAAAUGUAUGCCAGGCACUGUUCUGUGGGCGGAAGAGGGUGCCCUGUGGGAACCUGCAGGGAAGGUGUUCCAGGCAGAGGGCACAGCCCGUGCAGA
rnacentral:lncRNA from 1 species